rnacentral:piRNA from 1 species
CACGGAACAGUUUCUCUCAACAUU